ensembl:lncRNA
UUUUCUGAGAUGAUUGUCAUUCUGUCAUCUGGUUAUAAAUUCAUAGGAGUUGUAGGCCUGAAAGGGAAAGUCACCAAGUUGUAUCCGACUUUUUGCGACCCCAUGGACUAUACAGUCCAUGGAGUUCUCCAGUAUUCUUGCUUGGAAAAUUCCAUGGACAGAGGAGGCUGACUGUCUACAGUCCAUGGGGUUGACAGUAUGACAGCACACAUACAUGAUAUUAGUAGAAAACAACCUUUAACAAGAUGCCUUUUCUGACCAUAGCAGUUACUGGAGGAAAUGGGACUUUUUCUUCUAAUAUAGGAAAUAAAGAAAAAUUAUAGUAAGUGGAAUUAGUGUUAAUAUACAAGCCUAUAUCCUUUGUUCAAAAUGUGUGAUGUUUGAAAUACUUAAAGAUUCUAUUUAAACAGAU